rnacentral:tRNA from 1 species
GUCUCUUGAGUAUGAUAAGUACAUUUGCCUUCCAAGCAGAAAGAUUAGAUUGGACUAAAAGAGAUA